CGCAUUAAUAUAGAAUGUGAUUAAACUGACCUGGAACUACCUGUGCAGUUCAACGAAUUUAAUCAACACCUGCCAGCCAAUCAGAAUCCAGUAUUCAGACAGACCAUGGCAUAAAGCGGUAUGUUCUUAUUUUUACCAGCUUCUGCAAGCUUGUAUGGCGUCUGGCUGUUGGAACCUCACUGUGACUUCAGAUAAGAACAAAGAUUCAAUUGUAAGAAGAGCUGCUUGUAAGAGCAUACAGUACAUCUGAAUCUGCUGAAAUAUAACUGGGAAGGUUUUUGACUAUAUUUCCGACCAGAUCAGCUGCUAUAGAAGACAAACUCAGGGU